rnacentral:rRNA from 1 species
AUACGGAGGGUGCAAGCGUUACUCGGAAUCACUGGGCGUAAAGCGCGCGUAGGCGGCUUAUUAAGUCAGAUGUGAAAUCCCCGGGCUCAACCUGGGAACUGCAUCUGAUACUGGUAAGCUAGAGUUUUGGAGAGGGAAGUAGAAUUUCAGGUGUAGCGGUGAAAUGCAUAGAGAUCUGAAGGAAUACCAGUGGCGAAGGCGACUUCCUGGCCAAAAACUGACGCUGAGGUGCGAAAGCGUGGGUAGCAAACGGGAUUAGAAACCCUAGUAGUCC